rnacentral:rRNA from 1 species
GAGUGAACGCUGGCGGUAGGCCUAACGCAUGCAAGUCGAACGGCAGCACAGUAGGAGCUUGCUCUUACGGGUGGCGAGUGGCGGACGGGUGAGGAAUACAUCGGAAUCUACUUUUUCGUGGGGGAUAACGUAGGGAAACUUACGCUAAUACCGCAUACGACCUACGGGUGAAAGCAGGGGAUCUUCGGACCUUGCGCGAUUGAAUGAGCCGAUGUCGGAUUAGCUAGUUGGCGGGGUAAAGGCCCACCAAGGCGACGAUCCGUAGCUGGUCUGAGAGGAUGAUCAGCCACACUGGAACUGAGACACGGUCCAGACUCCUACGGGAGGCAGCAGUGGGGAAUAUUGGACAAUGGGCGCAAGCCUGAUCCAGCCAUACCGCGUGGGUGAAGAAGGCCUUCGGGUUGUAAAGCCCUUUUGUUGGGAAAGAAAAGCAGCAGGUUAAUACCCCGCUGUUCUGACGGUACCCAAAGAAUAAGCACCGGCUAACUUCGUG